rnacentral:rRNA from 1 species
ACCCCCGUGAGUAUGCCCUCAAUCCCCCACCCGGGGACAAGGAGCGGGCAUCAGGCACAAAAUUUAGCCCAAGACGCCUAGCCGAGCCACACCCCCAAGGGAAUUCAGCAGUGAUAAACAUUAAGCCAUAAGUGAAAACUUGACUCAGUUAGAGCUAGUAGGGCCGGUAAAACUCGUGCCAGCCACCGCGGUUAAACGAGAGGCCCCAGUUGAUAAUAUUACGGCGUAAAGGGUGGUUAAGGAACACAACACAAUAAAGCCGAACAGCCCCCCGGCCGUCAUACGCUUCCGGGUGCUAGAAGCCCAACCACACGAAAGUAGCUUUAACAUAAUUUGCCUGACCCCACGAAAGCUGAGAAACAAACUGGGAUUAGAUACCCCACUAUGCUCAGCCAUAAACCCAGAUAUUUACGUACAAUUACAUGUCCGCCAGGGUACUACAAGCAUUAGCUUAAAACCCAAAGGACCUGACGGUGCCUCAGACCCCCCUAGAGGAGCCUGUUCUAGAACCGAUAACCCCCGUUAAACCUCACCACUU